rnacentral:tRNA from 1 species
CUCUGGUAGUUCAUACAGUAAAGAAUCUGCCUGCAACGCAGGAGACCCAGGUUCGAUCCCUGGAUCAGGAA